rnacentral:antisense_RNA from 1 species
CUUCAACGAGCCCAGCCACAGCGGCUGUCCGUCCGGCCGGUCCUGCCCGUAGGUGGCGAUGAGCGCCUGCGCCUC